GCCUUCGUAGCUCAGCCUGGUAGAGCGCUUGUUUCGUAAACAAGAGGCCGAGGUUUCAAAUACCUCCGAGGGCU
rnacentral:tRNA from 1 species